rnacentral:lncRNA from 1 species
GGGGUCCCGCGACUUCCAUUAAUGAAUUCGCACACUGGCCGUCACCACUCAACACGCCGACGAUACUCUGUCCAGAGGAAAAGUGUAGUUUGUUGAAAGCGUGUGGAAGAAAACCCCGGAUAUACAUAUACU